rnacentral:ncRNA from 12 species
ACGUCGCGUGGUGGUGGAGUCCACCUGAACCGCCGCUCUGACUGGACGGCCAAUGACUCCUACGCAUAG